UUAAUUGAAGCCAAAAAGAGGCUUAUCACUGUUAAUGAUAUCAAUGGAUUCUAUAUCCCAAUUAAA
rnacentral:tRNA from 1 species